GACGAACGCUGGCGGCGUGCUUAACACAUGCAAGUCGAACGGAAAGGCCCUGCUUUUGUGGGGUGCUCGAGUGGCGAACGGGUGAGUAACACGUGAGUAACCUGCCCUUGACUUUGGGAUAACUUCAGGAAACUGGGGCUAAUACCGGAUAGGAGCUCCUGCUGCAGGGUGGGGGUUGGAAAGUUUCGGCGGUUGGGGAUGGAAUCGCGGCUUAUCAGCUUGUUGGUGGGGUAGUGGAUUACCAAGGCUUUGACGGGUAGCCGGCCUGGGAGGGUGACCGGCCACAUUGGGACUGAGAUACGGCCCAGACUCCUACGGGAGGCAGCAGUGGGGAAUAUUGCACAAUGGGCGGAAGCCUGAUGCAGCAACGCCGCGUGCGGGAUGACGGCCUUCGGGUUGUAAACCGCUUUCGCCUGUGACGAAGCGUGAGUGACGGUAAUGGGUAAAGAAGCACCGGCUAACUACGUG
rnacentral:rRNA from 1 species